GGGUACCUAAGAAAUGUAUUUUUUUAUUCUAGUUGAUACUUUAUUCACUAUAGCUAUUAAUUGGAUCGAUGACAUUGCCUCUCAUUUCCAGGAUACAAUCAAGAGCUUCUGAAUCACUAAGCCUUCUAAGUCAAUCAACCGCCACGACAUUCUGGGCUAACACCCACACAGACAUGCUCAAGUAAAACCUACCGUUUUGUUUAUACUUUUGUUUAAGGAAGACGUUUGCAAAAAUCAUAAUUAUACAAUGAUAACCUGCUCAAAAUUGGCAUGAGACUCGAAAAGUGCAAGAUACUGAAAGAGGCUUUCCUUGUAGAGACCAUAAUUUUUUUAUAGACAUCUACCUAUACGGAUUGGCAGAUCAUGUUGCUGAGGAGCAAUAUUUUGUUACAUUCUAACCUCUAUGCCUUCCUUUACCAGGUGCUCUUUCACGGAUGGAAUAGGAACCUGAAAUUCAGGAGACAAAUUAUACAGCCCAGGCCAGUCAGAGAUCCAUAUUACAUGUAUGUAUAUUACUCUGUAGCAGGGGUAGGGUUCUGGAUGUAACUUCAUAGAUUAUCUUAAGGGCGGACAUGAAAGGGUUUUGACGACACAACCUAAGCAAAUAUUAUCAAAGUGUAUUGCUGAAACUAAAAAAGUACUGCAAAAUAUGCAACUUCACUCAAUCUUUCCUCGGAUGCUUAAUAGUCUAAAAGAUUUUAGUAGUUGAUAAGU
rnacentral:lncRNA from 1 species